AAGGCUCAGCUUUAGAGAAAACGUGCUUUUGCCUUCAAAGAAAACAAACACACCGGCACCACUUUCCUCCUUCCAAACUUCUUUUCCUCCUUUAAAAACGCGCCACCUCCGUUAAAAGAGGUAAAAAUUUUGCAUGCGGGAAUCAAGAUCCGAAACGACUUCACAUAUGGAGAUUAAGGUGGACGACAAUCAUGACAAUGACGUUCCUUCUGUUGCUGUUACCGGUGCAGCUUUGGCCACCAGGGGUCGCCUGCUUGAGGCAAACGGAGGUUGGAGCUAUCGUUCGAUGAUCUCAGAGACGGUAGCUAUCCCGACACUCAGAGAAUUGUCGUGAAGUGUGCUUGGAGAUAAUAAUCAAUCCAUGCAAAGGGGAAUUGAGCUUUCCUGGUCCGAAACUCUAGUACUACAAUGUGUUCGUUCUUGUAGUUUGCACUUUGUUUCCUUUUUUUCCCCUUUUGUUUUCUGUUUUCUUUUACUUUUUUACCUUAUGUUGGUAGGAUUACCUUGAAGAGGGAUGAAGAAUGACUUCUGGGUAGGGUAGUUACUCCAGCACCGUAGUGAUUUGAUAGAAGAUAGUGAGCAUGCAAGAAAUUAUGGAAAUUCAGGAGCUGCGUGAGGAUUGAAAGUUAUGUUAUGCAAAUAAUGCUUUGCACUUGCAACCGCUGAAUUCUCGAUAAAUAGUGAUAUGUAGAGGGUGAAGCGGAAUUUUAUGAGCUCUUAGUUUGUGCCAAUGAAUGAUCAGCAGAAUUUAAAGGAUCGAUCUUUAGCAGAUAAAAAGGUAAACUAUAUCCAUAAUAAACUUCUGUUUUUUGCUUGUGUGAUGUUGCCGAUCUCCUUUAGGUCGUUGCAUUUCUCUUUCCUGAAUUUCGAUAAUCAAGAUUGUAUUGUUAUAUAAUUGCAAGUUUCUGAUUCUUCUGA